AGGUAGUCAAGAUGAGAAUUCUAAGGUGAGCGAGCGAACUCUCGUUAAGGAACUCGGCAAAAUGACCCCGUAACUUCGGGAGAAGGGGUGCUCUUUAGGGUUAACGCCCAGAAGAGCCGCAGUGAAUAGGCCCAAGCGACUGUUUAUCAAAAACACAGGUCUCUGCUAAACCGUAAGGUGAUGUAUAGGGGCUGACGCCUGCCCGGUGCUGGAAGGUUAAGAGGAGUGGUUAGCUUCUGCGAAGCUACGAAUCGAAGCCCCAGUAAACGGCGGCCGUAACUAUAACGGUCCUAAGGUAGCGAAAUUCCUUGUCGGGUAAGUUCCGACCCGCACGAAAGGCGUAACGAUUUGGGCACUGUCUCAACGAGAGACUCGGUGAAAUCAUAGUACCUGUGAAGAUGCAGGUUACCCGCGACAGGACGGAAAGACCCCGUGGAGCUUUACUGUAGCCUGAUAUUGAAAUUCGGCACAGCUUGUACAGGAUAGGUAGGAGCCUUUGAAACGUGAGCGCUAGCUUACGUGGAGGCGCUGGUGGGAUACUACCCUAGCUGUGUUGGCUUUCUAACCCGCACCACUUAUCGUGGUGGGAGACAGUGUCAGGCGGGCAGUUUGACUGGGGCGGUCGCCUCCUAAAAGGUAACGGAGGCGCUCAAAGGUUCCCUCAGAAUGGUUGGAAAUCAUUCAUAGAGUGUAAAGGCAUAAGGGAGCUUGACUGCGAGACCUACAAGUCGAGCAGGGUCGAAAGACGGACUUAGUGAUCCGGUGGUUCCGCAUGGAAGGGCCAUCGCUCAACGGAUAAAAGCUACCCCGGGGAUAACAGGCUUAUCUCCCCCAAGAGUUCACAUCGACGGGGAGGUUUGGCACCUCG
rnacentral:rRNA from 1 species